UUCUCUCAUUUGACUUCAUCUCCCUCAUAUACACAUAAUACACCUCAUGUUCUUCUUCAUGUAUUCACCAUAACAUUCAAACAUGAUAUUUUUUCUCUCCUCCAUGAAUGCACUCAUGUAAACCUCCACAUAAACCAUUCACACAUAAAACUAACAACACGCAACCACUCCAAACAACCUCAGACCAUCUUGAAAAUAUCACAUCCACACACACCACCUUCAUAGCGUCUCCAAUC
rnacentral:lncRNA from 1 species